rnacentral:rRNA from 1 species
GACGAACGCUGGCGGCGUGCUUAACACAUGCAAGUCGAACGGUAAGGCCCUUCGAGGUACACGAGUGGCGAACGGGUGAGUAACACGUGGGUGAUCUGCCCUGCACUUCGGGAUAAGCCUGGGAAACUGGGUCUAAUACCGGAUAGGACCCUGGGAUGCAUGUCCUGGGGUGGAAAGCUUUUGCGGUGUGGGAUGGGCCCGCGGCCUAUCAGCUUGUUGGUGGGGUGCUGGCCUACCAAGGCGACGACGGGUAGCCGGCCUGAGAGGGUGAGCGGCGCAACUGGGACAGAGAUACGGCCCAGACUCCUACGGGAGGCAGCAGUGGGGAAUAUUGCACCAUGGGCGCAAGCCGGAUUCAGCGACGCCGCGUGAGGGAUGACGGCCUUCGGGUUGUAAACCUCUUUCAGCACCGACGAAGCGCAAGUGACGGUAGGUGCAGAAGAAGGACCGGCCAACUACGUGCCAGCCGCCGCCGUAA